rnacentral:rRNA from 1 species
UCGAGGGGCAGCACAAGGAGCAAUCUGAGGUGGCGACCGGCGCAGGGUGAGUAACACGUAUGCAACCUGCCUGUAAGAGGGGGAUAACCCGUUGAAAGACGGACUAAUACCGCAUAAUACUGAAUAACCGCAUGGUUAAUUAGUUAAACAUUUAUGGCUUACAGAUGGGCAUGCGCAUGAUUAGCUAGUUGGUGAGGUAACGGCUCACCAAGGCAACGAUCAUUAGGGGUUCUGAGAGGAAGGUCCCCCACACUGGUACUGAGACACGGACCAGACUCCUACGGGAGGCAGCAGUGAGGAAUAUUGGUCAAUGGGCGAGAGCCUGAACCAGCCAAGUCGCGUGAAGGAUGAAGGUUUUAUGAAUUGUAAACUUCUUUUGCUGUUUGUAUAAAGUACGGUACGUGUACCGUUUUGUAUGUACUCUGCGAAUAAGGAUCGGCUAACUCCGUGCCAGCAGCCGCGGUAAUACGGAGGAUCCAAGCGUUAUCCGGAUUUAUUGGGUUUAAAGGGUGCGCAGGCGGGUUGAUAAGUCAGCGGUGAAAGUUUGCAGCUUAACUGUAAAAUUGCCGUUGAAACUGUCGAUCUUGAGUGCAAAUGAGGUAAGCGGAAUGUGUUGUGUAGCGGUGAAAUGCUUAGAUAUAACACAGAACACCGAUUGCGAAGGCAGCUUACUGGGAUGCAACUGACGCUCAUGCACGAAAGCGUGGGGAUCAAACAGGAUUAGAUACCCUGGUAGUCCACGCAGUAAACGAUGAAUACUAACUGUUUGCGAUAUACAGUAAGCGGUACAGCGAAAGC